CUCCUCUUUUGCUUCUCACAGUUUACACUUUCCUGACCUGACAAUAUCUUGUUUUCUUCUUCUAAUUUACUACUGUUUUCCUGUAUGUUAAAUGUACAGAUAGUUGUUUUUUCACAUUUUUUCCAAUUGAAAAUUUAAAAGGACUUUGAGAUCAUAGAAAGGUUCCUUAAAAGGGGAAAUGAGCAAUUUGAGAAGGAAUCACUGAAGCUCUAUGUUGACCAACUUCAUAUAGGUGAAUCAAAACAGGAUAUCCACACUCAGCCCUCUGAGUGGUUUAAAGGCUGAGACCUGGGACUCUUCAGCCUGGAGAAAACUGAGAGGUGAUCUUAUCAAUGCUUAUAAAUAUCAAAAGGGCACAACUCCAGUGGAUGGGGCCAGGCUCUUUUCGACAGUGCCUAGCAACAGAAUAAGGGCCAGUGGGCACAAACUGGAACACAGGAAGUUCCAUACAAACACAAGGAAAAACCUCUUUCCUCUGAAGGUGACAGAAUACUGGAACAGGCUGCCCAGAGAGGUUGUGGAGUCUCCUUCUUUGGAGAUAUUUACCUGGACACUUUCCUCUGCAACCUCCUCUAGGGAACCUCAUUCAGCAGGGACUUGGACUAGAUGAUCUCCAGAGGUCUCUUCCAACUUCUGUGGUUCUGUAAUUCUGUGACUGUGAUCGUCAUCCUAUUGAAAGAAAUAAAACUACUUCU
ensembl:lncRNA